rnacentral:rRNA from 1 species
GCCGGCAGCCAGCUCUCUGCAACUCUCACAUGGUUGCCCACUGAGGCCAAGCAGGACUGCACCCAGUCAGUACCUGGAUGAAAGACCACAUGGGAAAGCUAUAGGUUGUUGCUAGAA